GACAGAGGCCCCGAGCGUUAGGCGGAAUCACUGGGCUUAAAGCGUGUGUAGGCGGAUCGUUAAGUGUCUUGUGAAAUCCCACGGCUCACCCGUGGAACUGCUGGGCAUACUGGCGAUCUUGGGCCGUUCAGGGGCGACUGGAACAAGCGGUGGAGCGGUGAAAUGCGUAGAUAUCGCGUGGAACGCCGAAGGUGAAAACAGGUCGCUGGGGACGCGCCGACGCUGAGACACGAAAGCCAGGGGAGCAAACGGG
rnacentral:rRNA from 1 species